rnacentral:rRNA from 1 species
UGGGGAAUAUUGGACAAUGGGCGCAAGCCUGAUCCAGCAAUACCGCGUGUGUGAAGAAGGCCUUAGGGUUGUAAAGCACUUUCAAUUGGGAGGAAAACCUGCCGGUCAAUACCCGGUAGCUUGACAUUACCUUUAGAAGAAGCACCGGCUAACUCCGUGCCAGCAGCCGCGGUAAUACGGAGGGUGCGAGCGUUAAUCGGAAUUACUGGGCGUAAAGCGUGCGUAGGCGGUUCGUUAAGUCAGAUGUGAAAGCCCUGGGCUCAACCUGGGAACGGCAUUUGAAACUGGCGGACUAGAGUUUAGUAGAGGGGAGUGGAAUUUCAGGUGUAGCGGUGAAAUGCGUAGAUAUCUGAAGGAACACCAGUGGCGAAGGCGACUCCCUGGACUAGAACUGACGCUGAGGUACGAAAGCGUGGGUAGCAAACAGGAUUAGAUACCCUGGUAGUCCACGCCGUAAACGAUGUCGACUAGCCGUUGGUCCUAUUUACAGGAUUAGUGGCGCAGCUAACGCAUUAAGUCGACCGCCUGGGGA